GCCCGCAUAGCUCAGUUGGUUAGAGCAUGGUGUUGAUAACGCCAAGGUUGCAAGUUUGAUCCCCGUAUGGGACA